UUUUUAACCGACUUCCAAAAAAGGAGGAGGUUCUCAAUUCGACUGUAUUUUUUUUUUUUUUUUUUUUGUAUGUUACAUCAGAACUUUUGACCGGGUGGACCGAUUUCGACAAAUUUUGUUUUAAUCGAAAGGUGGUAUGUGCCAAUUGGUCCCAUUUAAAUUUAUUUGAGAUCUAACAACUACUUUUUGAGUUAUAUCCAAUAAUGCGUUUUUACUUGACGCUUUUUUCGUCGACCUACGCUCUAUUAUACCACAUAACUUUCUACUGGAUGUACCGAUUUUGAUCAUUCUUUUUUGUUGGAAAGGGGAUAUCCCCAGUUUGGUACCGUCAUAAGGAAAC
rnacentral:misc_RNA from 1 species